CAACUUGAGAGUUUGAUCCUGGCUCAGAACGAACGCUGGCGGCAGGCCUAACACAUGCAAGUCGAGCGAGGA
rnacentral:ncRNA from 1 species